rnacentral:rRNA from 1 species
GAUGAACGCUGGCGGCGUGCCUAAUACAUGCAAGUCGAGCGAACAGACGAGGAGCUUGCUCCUCUGACGUUAGCGGCGGACGGGUGAGUAACACGUGGAUAACCUACCUAUAAGACUGGGAUAACUUCGGGAAACCGGAGCGAAUACUGGAUAAUAUAUUGAACCGCAUGGUUCAAUAGUGAAAGACGGUUUUGCUGUCACUUAUAGAUGGAUCCGCGCCGCAUUAGCUAGUUGGUAAGGUAACGGCUUACCAAGGCAACGAUGCGUAGCCGACCUGAGAGGAUGAUCGGCCACACUGGAACGGAGACACGGUCCCGACUCCUACGGGAGGCAGCAGUAGGGAAUCUUCCGCAAUGGGCGAAAGCCUGACGGAGCAACGCCGCGUGAGUGAUGAAGGUCUUCGGAUCGUAAAACUCUGUUAUUAGGGAAGAACAAAUGUGUAAGUAACUAUGCACGUCUUGACGGUACCUAAUCAGAAAGCCACGGCUAACUACGUG